rnacentral:rRNA from 1 species
UCAGGGAUAUACACGGGAAACUGUGUUUAAUACCUGAUAAAAAAUAUUCUCUGGAAUGAAGUAUUUUUGAAACUUGAGCUUAAGGAUGGGGCUGCGGCGGAUUAGGUAGUUGUUGGUGUAAAAGACUAACAAGCCAAUGAUCUGUAAGGGCUCUUAGCGGAGGGGCCCUGAGAAGGACUCUGAGACACUAGUCCUAGCCCUACGGGGUGCAGCAGCCAGGAAACUUUUGCAAUGUACGCAAGUAUGACAAAGCAAGCCAGAGUGUUUUUCCAUUUGGAAAAACUUUUGCCAGCUGUAAAAAGGCUGGCGAAUAAGGACUGGGCAAGACCGGUGCCAGCCGCCGCGGUAAUCCCGGCGGUCCAAGUCGCAGCCACAUUUAUUGGGUCUAAAACAUCCGUAGCUUGUUUUGUAAGUCUCUUGUGAAAUUCUAACUCUUAAGGUUAGAGCAUGCAAGAGAUACUGCAGAACUAGAGACUGGAAGGAUGUGAGGAGUAUAGUCAAAGUAGUGGUAAAAUACGUUGAUCUUGACUAGACUAACAACAGCGAAGGCACCUCACAACUACAGUUCUGACAGUGAGGGAUGAAAGCUAGGGGCGCAAAUUGGAUUAGAUACCCAAGUAGUCCUAGCUGUAAACACUGCGCACUAAACAUCGGAACCUCCUCGAGAGGUGUCGGUGCUGUAGAGAAGUCGAAGAGUGCGCUACCUGGGAAGUAUAGUCGCAAGGCUGAAACUUAAAGGAAUUGGCGGGGG